AUUGAACGCUGGCGGCAGGCCUAACACAUGCAAGUCGAACGAGUGGCGGACGGGUGAGUAAUGUCUGGGAAACUGCCUGAUGGAGGGGGAUAACUACUGGAAACGGUAGCUAAUACCGCAUACACUCGGAUGUGCCCAGAUGGGAUUAGCUAGUAGGUGGGGUAACGGCUCACCUAGGCGACGAGCCCUAGCUGGUCUGAGAGGAUGAAAAGCCACAAUGGAACUGAGACACGGUCCAGACUCCUACGGGAGGCAGCAGUGGUGAAUAUUGCACAAUGGGCGCAAGCCUGAUGCAGCCAUGCCGCGUGUAGGAAGAAGGCCUUCUGGUUGUAAAGUACUUUCAGCGGGGAGGCGUUACCCGCAGAAGAAGCACCGGCUAACUCCGGGCCAGCAGCCGCGGUAAUUC
rnacentral:rRNA from 1 species